UACGGAGGAGGCAAGCGUUAUCCGGAAUGAUUGGGCGUAAAGCGUCCGCAGGUGGCUGUGUAAGUCUGCUGUUAAAGAGUCAUGCUCAACAUGAUAAGAGCAGUGGAAACUACACGGCUAGAGUGCGUUCGGGGCAGAGGGAAUUCCUGGUGUAGCGGUGAAAUGCGUAGAGAUCAGGAAGAACACCGGUGGCGAAAGCGCUCUGCUAGGCCGCAACUGACACUGAGGGACGAAAGCUAGGGGAGCGAAUGGG
rnacentral:rRNA from 1 species